AUAUAUCAACCUCUUCGGCUUAUGCUUGUUGAGUGUUGGAUGGUGGGGGUUUUGCUGGUGUCUUAUGAAGUCAGCUCCCCUGAAAUGCAUUAGCGGAACAAUUUGUUGACCGUUCAUUGGUGUGAUAAAAUAUCUACGCUAUUGACGUCAGUCAGUUCAGCUUCUAACAGUCCAUUGACUUGGACAAAUUUUCAUUA
rnacentral:misc_RNA from 1 species